rnacentral:rRNA from 1 species
GAUGAACGCUAGCUACAGGCUUAACACAUGCAAGUCGAGGGGCAGCAUGGUCUUAGCUUGCUAAGGCCGAUGGCGACCGGCGCACGGGUGAGUAACACGUAUCCAACCUGCCGUCUACUCUUGGACAGCCUUCUGAAAGGAAGAUUAAUACAAGAUGGCAUCAUGAGUCCGCAUGUUCACAUGAUUAAAGGUAUUCCGGUAGACGAUGGGGAUGCGUUCCAUUAGAUAGUAGGCGGGGUAACGGCCCACCUAGUCUUCGAUGGAUAGGGGUUCUGAGAGGAAGGUCCCCCACAUUGGAGCUGAGACACGGUCCAAACUCCUACGGGAGGCAGCAGUGUGGAAUAUUGGUCAAUGGGCGCAGGCCUGACCCAGCCAAGUAGCGUGAAGGAUGACUGCCCUAUGGGUUGUAAACUUCUUUUAUAAAGGAAUAAAGUCGGGUAUGUAUACCCGUUUGCAUGUACUUUAUGAAUAAGGAUCGGCUAACUCCGUG